UACGGAGGGUGCAAGCGUUAUCCGGAUUUACUGGGUUUAAAGGGUGCGUAGGCGGACAGGUAAGUCAGUGGUGAAAUCCCCGAGCUCAACUCGGGAACUGCCGUUGAUACUAUCUGUCUUGAAUACCGUGGAGGUGAGCGGAAUAUGUCAUGUAGCGGUGAAAUGCUUAGAUAUGACAUAGAACACCGAUUGCGAAGGCAGCUCACUACGCGGUCAUUGACGCUGAGGCACGAAAGCGUGGGGAGCAAACAGG
rnacentral:rRNA from 1 species